AUUGAACGCUGGCGGCAUGCUUUACACAUGCAAGUCGAACGGCAGCGCGGGCUUCGGCCUGGCGGCGAGUGGCGAACGGGUGAGUAAUGCAUCGGAACGUGCCCAGCAGUGGGGGAUAGCCACGCGAAAGCCGGGGUACUACCGCAUACGACCUGAUGGUGCAACCGGGGGACCGAAAGGCCUCGCGCUCUUGUGGCGGCCGACGUCGGAUUUGCUAGUUGGUGGGGUAAAGGCUUACCAAGGCGACGAUCCGUAGCUGGUCUGAGAGGACGACCAGCCACACUGGGACUGAGACACGGCCCAGAGUCCUACGGGAGGCAGCAGUGGGGAAUGUUGGACAAUGGGGGCAACCCUGAUCCAGCCAGGCCGCGUGCGGGAAGAAGGCCUUCGGGUUGUAAACCGCUUUUGUUCGGGAAGAAAUCCUUUGGGCUAAUACCCCGGGGGGAUGACGGUACCGGAAGAAUAAGCACCGGCUAACUACGUG
rnacentral:rRNA from 1 species